rnacentral:rRNA from 1 species
AGAUUGAACGCUGGCGGCAGGCCUAACACAUGCAAGUCGAGCGGUAGAGAGGUGCUUGCACCUCUUGAGAGCGGCGGACGGGUGAGUAAUGCCUAGGAAUCUGCCUAGUGGUGGGGGAUAACGUUCGGAAACGGACGCUAAUACCGCAUACGUCCUACGGGAGAAAGCGGGGGACCUUCGGGCCUCGCGCCAUUAGAUGAGCCUAGGUCGGAUUAGCUAGUUGGUGAGGUAAUGGCUCACCAAGGCGACGAGUCCGUAACUGGUCUGAGAGGAUGAUCAGUCACACUGGAACUGAGACACGGUCCAGACCUCCGUACGGGAGCAGCAGGUGGGAAUAUUGGACAAGUGGGCGAAAGGCCUGAUCCGAGCCAUCGUCCGCGUUGUAGGUGAAGAAGGUUCUUCGGAUUUGAAAGUCGUAACGUUUUAAGGUUGGGAGGUAAGGGUUUAGUAAACUUAACGUUACGUU